GAUGAACGCUAGCGGCAGGCUUAACACAUGCAAGUCGAGGGGUAUAGUUCUUCGGAGCUAGAGACCGGCGCACGGGUGCGUAACGCGUAUGCAAUCUACCUUUUACAGAGGGAUAGCCCAGAGAAAUUUGGAUUAAUACCUCAUAGUAUGUGAGAAUCGCAUGGUUUUCACAUUAAAGUUCCAACGGUAAAAGAUGAGCAUGCGUCCCAUUAGCUAGAUGGUAAGGUAACGGCUUACCAUGGCGACGAUGGGUAGGGGUCCUGAGAGGGAGAUCCCCCACACUGGUACUGAGACACGGACCAGACUCCUACGGGAGGCAGCAGUGAGGAAUAUUGGACAAUGGGCGCAAGCCUGAUCCAGCCAUGCCGCGUGCAGGAUGACGGUCCUAUGGAUUGUAAACUGCUUUUGUACAGGAAGAAACACUCCCUCGUGAGGGAGCUUGACGGUAC
rnacentral:rRNA from 1 species